rnacentral:rRNA from 1 species
UACGUAGGGGGCUAGCGUUGUCCGGAAUCAUUGGGCGUAAAGCGCGUGUAGGCGGUUCGGUAAGUCCGCUGUGAAAGUCGAGGGCUCAACCCUCGAAUGCCGGUGGAUACUGUCGGGCUUGAGUACGGGAGAGGCGAGUGGAAUUCCUGGUGUAGCGGUGAAAUGCGCAGAUAUCAGGAGGAACACCGAUUGCGAAGGCAGCUCGCUGGAACGUUACUGACGCUGAGACGCGAAAGCGUGGGGAGCGAACAGG